UACGUAGGGUCCGAGCGUUGUCCGGAAUUAUUGGGCGUAAAGGGCUCGUAGGCGGUUUGUCGCGUCGGGAGUGAAAACACCGGGCUUAACUCGGUGCUUGCUUUCGAUACGGGCAGACUGGAGGUAUGCAGGGGGAGAACGGAAUUCCUGGUGUAGCGGUGAAAUGCGCAGAUAUCAGGAGGAACACCGGUGGCGAAGGCGGUCUCUGGGCAUUACCUGACGCUGAGGAGCGAAAGUGUGGGGAGCGAACAG
rnacentral:rRNA from 1 species